CAACCCGACGCGGGAUCCGAAUGGGUGAUUCGGGUCGUUGUUGUUCCUUCCAUAUAUAAAGCAAGAUGUCUUCUCUCAUACUCUUUGUGGAUUAGGGUUUUUUUGUUUCCAUUGUUCCUCUUCAUCAGAUAAUCCUUCAUUCGCAUUCUGUUUGGAGAAAACCUAGCCGCAGUCCAUGGAAUCAAGAUCGCACUCUGUUUCCUCUUUCAACAAAUCGAUCAUCAAAUCAGAGCUUCAACUGUUCUCAUCUACUUAUUCUUCUUCAAUCAACAGGGUUUCGAUUCGUUAUUUUGAUUCCCUCAUCAAUCACUCGCUCUCUGCCUCUCACUCGCAUCUAUGUGAAUCUGAUUCUAAUCUUUGUUUUCAUCAUAAAUGUUAGAUUUUGUCCAUGAAUCAAUCAAGCGCCAGUUGUUUGCAGCCCUGUUUCGCAUGGAUUAUCCGAUUUUUGGUGCGAAGUUGAGGAGGUUAUCGCAGAGGAGAUUCAUGCCUCCGGUGGAUUCGCCAUGGUAUUAGGAGAUUCUCCUCCACAUUCAGGUUCACUUCCUCCCUUUGUUACUCUUUGUACGCAUAUGUAGUGUGUCGUGUCUUCUCGCUAUUUUGUUCUUCGUUCAAAUUUGUUUUUGGUGUUCAAAGGCCUCUAUCCAUGAUCAAAAGAAGGCAGUCAGUACAUCAGCGCCUCUCCGGCGAACUGGCUAUUUCUGCUUAUCGAAUUCGUGUUGAUGAUAUCGGAGCCUCCGGUUUACGACCAUGUAAUUUGGUCUUUAGGAGCUGAUGAGUUGAAUCAGAAUUAAGAAAAUGUGGUAUAAACAACUUUUGCAAUUGGUAUUUCUUUACCCUGACAUUCACACAGAUGGCGUUGGUUACGCUGGUGGAUUACACUUAGUCCGACGUAUGGUAGUCUAUUCGACUAGCAAUUCCAGCCAUCUUCAUGUUCAUAUCGGUUUUUUAGCCCCACUAAGUUAUUAUUUCAUUUUCAUUUUUAACUUUUCUUUGCAUUAUAUCAUAUAUUAAUAUGUUUUUUCGCAUUUUGUUGAUUGCAGGAUGAGGAGUAUUUUACCCUUCAUGACUUGAAAGGAAGCCAACUUGCUGUAAGGGUUUUCAAUAUCCUUUUCAACCUUAAUAAAUUUAUGGCCUUUGAAACUCGCGAUCCGUUUCUCAUACGUCAGGAACGUGAGAAUCAAACGUUAACAGAGUGGGAUCGGUUUGCUCAUCGAGAGUACAUCAGGCUGUCAAUGGAGGAAGAUGCCGAAGAUGCCUCUAAUGGUAGUGCAGAUGUGUGGGAUGCAUCUCUUGAGGCACAAUUUUGAGUUAUCAUCUGGAAGCGGGUCAUUAAGGGACGAAAAUGGCAUUUUACUCUUCAAAUAUUAGAAGCAUCAACUUCAAAUAUUAGAAGCAUCAACUUCAAACUCCAGAAGUGUGUGAUCAGGUUAUUUGAUCGUUUCCAUGGAUUUUGAGGUUUCCAGUUGAUUUCGAAUUUGAAAUUCCAUCUCGAGUCCCCAGUACCAGGUAUAUCAAGGCCAAAGUCAAACAUGUGAAGCCAUUUUUUCUUUAUAUUUAUUAUUUGAAGUUUUUAUUUUUACAUUUUGUACAACUUUAACUAUAUUAAAAGAAAUUAUUCAUAAUUUUGUUACUGAUAUAAGUGUUUUAAUUGUAGUGGUAGGCUCGCCCUUCCUAGAACAAAAUAAGUAGUAAUGUAAAUUCAAUAGUCUGAGCUGAAAUUAAAGUAAACUAUUAGUAGUUAUUGAUCUGAUUAUGCACUAUUUAAAGUGAAGUUAUAGGCACACGGGUAAUGCACUAUUGCUCUAAAGAUAUGGAUUAAACCCCGUUCGUUGGACUGAAUAACAAAUGAACGGCUAGAUUUGUCUUCUUAGACCCCACAUUCCAGAUUAAUACUAUUAGCAGCGACCUAAAACAACAGCUUUAUACUGCAAAGCUUCGUCUUUGAGGUUCUUGAGAGUUGCAGAGGAGAAGUUUUUGAGGAGAUUGAAGAAGUUAGAGGGCGAAAAAGAGUGAACUCUUGUACAAGAGUGGAUGAGAUGAAUGGAGUAAUGCAAAAUUGGGUGGAAGUAAGUGAGAAAGCUUUAGGAAUUAACAAAAAUCAUCAAAUUUCAGUUGGUAUCUUCGGUUCUUGAAAUGAAACAAGGGUGGCACGUCUCCCACGAAAAAAGAGCAAGGAAUCGAUGGACGUGGAUGGAAAGAAGGAAGGAGCUAAAGAUAUAAGUUAUAACUUUGUAGGUAUCUUAAUUAGUUAGUGUAAAGAUUAUUUUAUCAUAUUUGUUUAUAACAAGCCUCGAUUGUAUCAUUUAGCAUGACGAAUCCUAUUCUUACAUUCCACAUACGAGCAUCAUUAUUUUAAA